ACAGAUGGAUAUUAGAAUCGAGCUCAUUCUUUAGUCGAACUAAUAUAUACAUCUGUACGCAUGCCAGCUAAACAGGUGUCAUAACGCACCUAUUACAGGUAUCGCAGGUACGUGGAAUAUUAAAUCAGGGGAAAUUGUAAUUUCAUUACGGUAACGUGACGAUCAUACUGAUAUAUUAAAUAUUACUGAAAACGUUAAUCCGGAAAAUAUCACUUGGCCAACGUCCUCAAUCUUAUUUAAAUACAACGAUAGUAUAAUGAGGAGCUGUGUUUUAAUCAGAUUGACAUAGUCCGUCGACCUUAACAUACAUUUAUAAUCGACCCAAUGAGCCCCACAGUCGACUUGGGGUGUUGUAAAUGAUUACGUAAUACUACUAAUCCCGACAUUGUGUGUCAGUAUACCCGAUAAUACGAUCAGCUGUACAUAUUCUCUACACUGUAUUGUUUAUGAGAAUAAAACAAUUGUCAUUGUCAUUGUCAUCAUGUACGUAUGUCCAUCUCUUAUUGACAUGCGUGGAUCUAUACUCCCGUAUGUCAGCACCAAACGCAACGGCACGACUACAUGUAUCACCUACGAUCUUCGGUGUAUUUAAUUAUUGAAGGAAACAGUAAUUUAACCUCCAUGCUCCAAUUUGGACCAUACCGGAAUGUUGUGUAUUUAGCCCUAAACUGGACUGUAAAUGAUCAUUAUGGUUUGGUCUUGAAAUUAUAAAGUUCUAGAUGAUCCACUCGAUCUGGAAGGAGGGAAGUGAACGAGGUAAAUAUCCACGCUGUGUAUCACGGGGGCUACACACAUUGAUGGAUGUCAGGGGCUGAGGAUUCGCUUUAAGUUCCUGCGAGGAGGUGUGCAACCUGGUAGCGAACACCGUAAACAGAUCUGACGCCCAAAGUUUCACCGAGGGGAGGCGACAGUAAGCAGUUUGUCGGAUCCUAGUUAUAAAUUAUUUACGUCAUUUUGUUCGACGGACCAUAUUGCUCGGCUCAGCGUGACAAGAGUCCAGUUUCUUGUAUUUUCUGCCUAUACAAGACCCUGGCUCGUGUCUUUAAGAAAUGCCACUAAGGACACACCAUAACCACAUCAUUACUUUCAUUUGGCUUGCAUGUAACGGGUCAUGCAUUAUUAAGGAGGCUGCUGCUAAACAUCAGGCAACUAUUUGGUGACUGUCUCGGCCCGCGAUAAUUCGUUGGACAAAAACCACGUGUAUCUGUCCGAGAUGCUGGUAGUGUAAUAAUCACCAAGGCCGCCUGUUGUAAUUUCAAACCCGUAAACUUACACUAAAUUUUGAGAUUAAGUGUGGCAGUGGAGAGUUCUGUAGCAUAACGUUGUACAUUUUCGCUCGGAGAUGUAUACGUAACGUAGCUACAGACGAGGCGGCCAAAGAGAACAGACGAAGGACAAUUAAUUUCAGUAGUGCCGGCGGACAUGUUGGGCAUGCUCGUCUGGUAGUAGACAAAAUAUAGGUUGUCGACAUGUUAAAUAUCGCCAUCGUUUGCUGUCAUUGGUUUCUCCAGUAAAGUUGCACAAUAAACAAAGACGAUGCACAACCCAAUAUUACAGAGACGACGAUCCAGUCUGUUUAAGGGACAGGAUGGCACUCCUCUGAAUCUGACUGCAGCAAGGAAGCGUUCCGAACGCGAUGGUUUACUAACACCGGAACGGGUAUCACCGCCCGUCGCGCUGGAACGGAAGUCAUCCUUCCGAAAUGGCGAAGGACUCACAGGACGAGUGCCGGGAACAAUCACUCCACCAGUAUUUGUACAGAAGAAACAUUUCAUGUUUAAGCAUGAUAACUAUCAGGAACAGACUAGGGAAAACUUGUUUUCCAAAAAUUACUUCCCUAAAAGUAAAGCUAGACAUGAACGCGCCAAAAGACAUACUGACGAAUUGCUGGCAGACGACAACUAUAAGCGCUUUGUCAUUAUGACGAUCUCUAUGAGUUUAUUUAUCAUUGUUGUGAUUUCUGUCUCCUUGUAUCAGAUGAUUUACAAGAAUUUCACGUGACGCCAUACAAUACACAUAUUUUAUUUUAUUUUUUCCUGUCCUAUAGAGAUAGCUUCGUCUUAUAAGCUGUGUUUAUCCAAGGGGGAACUCGAAGAGCCGCAUCAUUUUGAAAAAUUACUAAAACCACUUUGUUUUAAAUGGUG
rnacentral:lncRNA from 1 species